GACGAACGCUGGCGGCGUGCUUAACACAUGCAAGUCGAACGGAAAGGCCCUGCUUUUGUGGGGUGCUCGAGUGGCGAACGGGUGAGUAACACGUGAGUAACCUGCCCUUGACUUUGGGAUAACUUCAGGAAACUGGGGCUAAUACCGGAUAGGAGCUCCUGCUGCAUGGUGGGGGUUGGAAAGUUUCGGCGGUUGGGGAUGGACUCGCGGCUUAUCAGCUUGUUGGUGGGGUAGUGGCUUACCAAGGCUUUGACGGGUAGCCGGCCUGAGAGGGUGACCGGCCACAUUGGGACUGAGGUACGGCCCAGACUGCUACGGGAGGCAGCAGUGGGGAAUAUUACACAAUGGGCGGAAGCCUGAUGCAGCGACGCCGCGUGCGGGAUGACGGCCUUCGGGGUGUAAACCGCUUUCGCCUGUGACGAAGCGUGAGUGACGGUAAUGGGUAAAGAAGCACCGGCUAACUACGUG
rnacentral:rRNA from 1 species